AUGGUACAGGAGAGCCUACAGGAUUUGGGGGUAGAAUUGCACCUUCAUAAUAAUGGGAAUGGGAGUGGUGUUUCAGCCUCAGUUUCAAUUUAUUAUGGUGACUUGAAAAAAAUACUGCUGGAUUUCCAGCAUGAGUCCAGAUAGAGAUAGGAUGGUUCUCCCUGUGAAAACCCACCUCUUUGUCAACACCAAGGGAUAGCAUUAGGGCUUCUAAAACAGACAUCUGAAGCAUUGAAGAGAAAAACAGCUCUUGGUCUGAUUCUACUGCAAAAAUUAUAUUGAGAGAAAAAAGAAGUUAAAUGUAUCUUGAGAAAAAACUCAGAUUAGAUAUGAUUGAUCAAGUCAGUCAGAAAAUAUUCCCCUAAAAGGAAUUUCUCUUAAAAUACCCCUAAUGCACAGCUACUCUUGGCAUGAGAAACAUGAGCAUUAUGAAGAAAAAAAGCAUAUUCUCAGCAGAAUUUUAUAAGGUUUCUCUUCCAUCUCUGCUGCUCUCAUCUCCUAGCCAUUGAAUGGGGGUUCCAUAUUGAAAUACAACUGACAAUUCACCAGCACUUUUUAA
rnacentral:lncRNA from 1 species